rnacentral:rRNA from 1 species
UUAGAUACCCUAUUAUUUUAAUUGUAAUUUUUUAAAUUAAAUGAUUAAUAGUUAAGUUCUUUAAAGUUAAAUAAUUUGGCGGUAUUUUAGUCUUUUCAGAGGAACCUGUCCUAUAAUUGAUAAUCCACGUUUAAAAAUACUUAAAUUAGAAAUUUAUAUAUCGUCGUGAAAAAUAUUUUUUUAGAAUUAAAUAUUUUUAAUUUAAAAUUUUAAAAUAAUUCAGAUCAAGGUAUAGUUUAUAUUUAAGAAGAGAUGGGUUACAAUAAAUUUAUUUUUGGAUAUUGAAUUUAAAAUUUGAUUGAAAAUGGAUUUGAAAGUAAUUAAAUUUAU